rnacentral:rRNA from 1 species
AUUGAACGCUGGCGGCAGGCCUAACACAUGCAAGUCGAACGGUAACAGGAAGACGCUUGCUUCUUUGCUGACGAGUGGCGGACGGGUGAGUAAUGUCUGGGAAACUGCCUGAUGGAGGGGGAUAACUACUGGAAACGGUAGCUAAUACCGCAUAACGUCGCAAGACCAAAGAGGGGGACCUUCGGGCCUCUUGCCAUCGGAUGUGCCCAGAUGGGAUUAGCUAGUAGGUGGGGUAACGGCUCACCUAGGCGACGAUCCCUAGCUGGUCUGAGAGGAUGACCAGCCACACUGGUACUGAGACACGGACCAGACUCCUACGGGAGGCAGCAGUGGGGAAUAUUGCACAAUGGGCGCAAGCCUGAUGCAGCCAUGCCGCGUGUAUGAAGAAGGCCUUCGGGUUGUAAAGUACUUUCAGCGGGGAGGAAGGGAGUAAAGUUAAUACCUUUGCUCAUUGACGUUACCCGCAGAAGAAGCACCGGCUAACUCCGUG